rnacentral:rRNA from 1 species
GGGUGCGUAACACGUAGGCAAUCUACCCUAAAGUUGGGAACAACCUGUCGAAAGAUGGGCUAAUGCCGAAUGUGACUGUUGGGAGGCAGCUCCUGAUAGUUAAAGCUGGGGACCCGCAAGGGCCUGGCGCUUUAGGAUGAGCCUGCGGCCUAUCAUGCUAGUUGGUGGGGUAACGGCCUACCAAGGCGAUGACGGGUAGCUGGUCUGAGAGGACGAUCAGCCACACUGGAACUGAGACACGGUCCAGACACCUACGGGUGGCAGCAGUCGAGAAUCUUUCACAAUGGGCGAAGGCCUGAUGGAGCGACGCCGCGUGGGGGAUGAAUGGCUUCGGUCCGUAAACCCCUGUCAUUCGCGAGCAAGGUUGCCGGCUGAAUAGGCUCGGCAGAUUGAUAGUAGCGAAAGAGGAAGGGACGGCUAACUCUGUGCCAGCAGCCGCGGUAACACAGAGGUCCCAAGCGUUGUUCGGAUUCACUGGGCGUAAAGGGUGCGUAGGUGGCAGGGUAAGUUCGGUGUGAAAGCUCCGGGCCCAACUCGGAAACGGCAUCGAAUACUCUCCUGCUAGAGGGUCGGAGGGGAGACUGGAAUUCUCGGUGAAGCAGUGAAAAGCGUAGAUAUCGAGAGGAACACCAGUGGCGAAGGCGAGUCUCUGGACGACACCUGACACUGAGGCACGAAAGCUAGGGGAGCAAACAGGAUUAGAUACCCUGGUAGUCCUAGCCGUAAACGGUGCACGUUUGCUGUGGGCGGAAUCGACCCCGUCCGUGGCGUAGCUAACGCGAUAAACGUGCCGCCUGGGGAGUACGUUCGCAAGAUUAAAACUCAAAGAAAUUGACGGGGGCCUGCACAAGCGGUGGAGUAUGUGGCUUAAUUCGAUGCAACGCGAAGAACCUUACCUGGCCUUACAUGCAAGUAGUAGAAGCCUGAAAGGGUAACGACCCCGCAGGGGGAGCUUGCACAGGUGCUGCAUGGCUGUCGUCAGCUCGUGUCGUGAGAUGUUGGGUUAAGUCCCGCAACGAGCGCAACCCUCGUGUCCUGUUGCCACUCCUGCGAGAGCGGGAAGCACUCUGGACAGACUGCCUCGCUUAAACGGGGAGGAAGGUGGGGAUGACGUCAAGUCAGUAUGGCCCUUAUGGCCAGGGCUGCACACGUACUACAAUGCCCGGUACAACAGGAAGCAAGACCGCAAGGUGGAGCAAAUCUCUAAAAACCGGGCCCAGUUCGGAUUGUCGUCUGCAACUCGACGGCAUGAAGCCGGAAUCGCUAGUAAUGGCGCAUCAGCUACGGCGCCGUGAAUACGUUCCCAGGCCUUGUACACACCGCCCGUCACAUCAUGAAAGCCGGUGGUACCCGAAGUCGCUGCGCGAACCCGCAAGGGAAGCAGGCGCCGAAGGUAUGACUGGUGAUUGGGAUGAAGUCGAACAAGGUA